rnacentral:rRNA from 1 species
AAAGGUUAGUAGAAUUUCCAGUGUAGAGGUGAAAUUCGUAGAUAUUGGAAAGAAUACCAGAAGCGAAGGCGACUAACUAGGCCAUUUUUGACGCUGAGAUACGAAAGCGUGGGUAGCAAACAGGAUUAGAUACCCUGGUAGUCCACGCAGUAAACGAUGAGUGCUAGUCGCUGGGACAAUAGUUUCAGUGUCGUAGCUAACGCAUUAAGCACUCCGCCUGGGAAGUACGGUCGCAAGAUUAAAACUCAAAUAAAUUGACGGGGGCCCGCACAAGCGGUGGAGCAUGUGGUUUAAUUCGAAGCAACGCGAAGAACCUUACCAGACCUUGACAUGGUGUGUUUGAACUACAGAAUCGUAGUUCUUCAGUUCGGCUGGCACACACACAGGUGCUGCAUGGCUGUCGUCAGCUCGUGUCGUGAGAUGUUGGGUUAAGUCCCGCAACGAGCGCAACCCUCAUUUUUAGUUGCCAUCAGGUUAAGCUGGGCACUCUAGAAAAACUGCCGGUGAUAAGCUGGAGGAAGGCGGGGAUGACGUCAAGUCCUCAUGGCCCUUACGGUCUGGGCUACACACGUGCUACAAUGGUGGUGACAGAGGGCAGCAAUAUCGCAAGAUAAAGCUAAUCCCUAAAAGCCAUCUCAGUUCGGAUUGGACUCUGCAACUCGAGUCCAUGAAGUUGGAAUCGCUAGUAAUCGUAGAUCAGCGUGCUACGGUGAAUACGUUCUCGGGCCUUGUACACACCGCCCGUCACGCCAUGGGAGUUGGUUUUACCUUAAGCCGGUGCGCUAACCGUAAGGAAGCAGCCGUCCACGGUAGGGUCAGCGACUGGGGCGAAGUCGUAACAAGGUAACCGUAGGGGAACCUGCGGUUG